rnacentral:rRNA from 1 species
GUCCAUGCCGUAAACGUUGGGCACUAGGUGUGGGGACAUUCCACGUUUUCCGCGCCGUAGCUAACGCAUUAAGUGCCCCGCCUGGGGAGUACGGCCGCAAGGCUAAAACUCAAAGGAAUUGACGGGGCCCGCACAAGCGGCGGAGCAUGCGGAUUAAUUCGAUGCAACGCGAAGAACCUUACCAAGGCUUGACAUGAACCGGUAAUACCUGGAGACAGGUGCCCCGCUUGCGGUCGGUUUACAGGUGGUGCAUGGUUGUCGU